UGGAUGAUCUGAGAUCAGGAGUUCGAGAC
rnacentral:piRNA from 1 species